UAAUAGAUCCGCGCGUUGUAAACGUAGCUAAUAAUAGAUGUAUUGCUAACGUCAGGAUUCGAGAUCAUUGAUAUGAGAUAAUACGAUACUACAUACCUAAAAAGUAAAGGUACCUGUGAGUAAAUAUGUUACCCUAGUUAUUGUGAUUGUCGAAAUGAAAUUGUCGUAACAGUAAGCUGCCAGAGGCAGUUGUGCAUAUAGGUCUCCCGAUAGACAUGUCAUUUUUUUUUAAGUUUAAACAAAUUUUGUGCCAGCAGUUGCGGUUAUACAAAUUAACCCCCACUGGGGGUUACCAGAGCCCAAUGGCCUUAGAAAAACCGAUAAGGCUCACUAGUCUCAAGGACUUAAAGUCACUCGGUGCACUGAAGGUGUUACCCAAGUAUUUGAAGUGGAUCACCUCCGAGGAUGAUUUUUAUCGUAGCUUGGAAUUUUGUGAACUUAUUAGUGAAUGAGCGGUAAAGAAUAACAAUUUCCUAUUUAAUGUCUGAGAACAACCCCAGAGUUGUUUACGACGUGCACACACAAAACCCUCAGAAAUUGAACGUGAGGGCUGGUAUUUUUGGAAAUUUCAAUGUGGGCCCUUGUUUUCUUCUUGGAAAAUCGAGAACGAGCGAUAUGUACUUGGAUUUACUGGAAAAUACUAUAGACCCAGCCCUAAGAGCCAUCAUAGAGCAUAAUCCUGGAUACGUUUAAGAUGCACCUCCACAUUACUCUCAAAAUGUGCGUCAUUAUUUUUAACAAUUUAUUUGCAGGUCAGUGAAUAGGCCGAAGGGGUGCAAUUGAGUGGCCUCCCCGGUCACCCGACUUGACUCCUUUAAACUUUUUUCUGUGGGAACCCAUACCACUCCACCUGCUUCAUUAGAACACCUGCGAGGACAAUUUUUUUUGACAAUGAUCUUUUCAUUUUAAUUUUUAAUGCUAAUUUUUGACCCCCCUGUAUCUUUUUUUUUAGCCAAAUAUUAAAAUAGUCUUUUAAAGUG